UGAUACGAAGGUCAAAAGGUUAUGUGUUUCAUGCUUGCAUGAAAAAGCAUGACUUUGGGACCCGCAAAACAUGAGAAAGCAGCCCGAGCAGGGCGGAUUUCGAAUGUUUUUAGGAUUGCGGGAGCACAAAGUGCGGAGCAAUCCGUAGGUAUCA
rnacentral:sRNA from 1 species